AGUGAACGCUGGCGGUAGGCCUAAUACAUGCAAGUCGAACGGCAGCACAGUAAGAGCUUGCUCUUACGGGUGGCGAGUGACGGACGGGUGAGGAAUACAUCGGCAUCUACUUUUUCGUGGGGGAUAACGUAGGGAAACUUACGCUAAUACCGCAUACGACCUACGGGUUAAAGCAGGAGAUAUUCGCACCUUGCGCGAUUGUAUGAGCCGAUGUCGGAUUAGCUAGUUGGCGUGGUAAAGGCCCACCAAGGCAACGAUACGUAGCUGAGCUGAGAGGAUGAUCAGCCACACUGGAACUGAGACACGGUCCAGACUCCUACGGGAGGCAGCAGUGGGGAAUAUUGCACAAAGGGCGCAAGCCUGAUCCAGCCAUACCGCGUGAGUGAUGAAGGCCUUCGGGUUGUAAAGCCCUUUUGUUAGGAAAGAAAAACAGCAUGAGAAUCCCCCCCUGUUCUGACGGUACCCAAAGAGCAAGCAACGGCUAACUUCGUG
rnacentral:rRNA from 1 species